rnacentral:rRNA from 1 species
ACCGAAGCUAUGGACUUGAAAAAGUGGUAGGGGAGCAUUGUAGUGGGGUUGAAGCAGUGGCGCGAGCCAUUGUGGACUAGCUACAAAAGAAAAUGUAGGCAUAAGUAACGAUAAUGCGGGCGAGAAACCCGCACACCGAAAGACUAAGGUUUCCUCAGCGAUGCUAAUCAGCUGAGGGUUAGUCGGGACCUAACGCGAACCCGAAAGGGGUAGUGGAUGGACAACCAGUUAAUAUUCUGGUACCUGCUCACGCUAAAAGUGACGGAGGCGUAUAUUUGGUGCGUGCUGACGGAAUAGCACGUUAAAGCCAGUGGUAACACGGCGAUAGUACACUGAGACUACGGUCAAGGUGAUAAUCCAGAGAAGCGACUUCCAAGAAAAGCGAGUGAAGCAGCCCGUACCGCAAACCGACACAGGUAGUCGGGGAGAGUAUCCUCAGGUGCGCGAGUGAUUCACGGCUAAGGAACUCGGCAAAUUAGUCCUGUAACUUCGGGAGAAGGGACGCCAGUUUCGGCUGGCCGCAGUGAAACGGCCCAAUCGACUGUUUAGCAAAAACACAGGACUCUGCGAAGGCGAAAGCC